rnacentral:rRNA from 1 species
UACAGGGGUGCAAACGUUGCUCGGAAUCAUUGGGGCGUAAAAGCGCACGUAGGCGGUUCGUUAUGUCGGAUGUGAAAGCCCUUGGCUUAACCGAGGAAGUGCAUCCAAAACUGGCGCUAGAGUACGAAAAGAGGAUGCGGGAAAUUUCCCGGUGUAGAGGGUGAAAAUUUCGUAGAUAUCGGGGAGGAACACCGGGUGGCGAA